rnacentral:tRNA from 1 species
UCCUGAUAGUUCAGUUGGUAAAGAAUCCGCCUGCAAUGCAGGAGACCCAGGUUCGAUUCCUGGGUCGGGAA